AGCACAUGAGCUCCAAUAGUAUUCCCUAUAUCCAUUCCCUAUUAUUAUAAUAAUAUUAAAUAGUUGAGGAGAGAGGGAAAAAAGAGAAGGAAAUGAUGUGGAGGAGAGAGGGAAAUGAAUAUUUUAAUGUUAAAAAUAGUUUAGAAGUGGCUAGCAUAUUCUAAAAAUAGGGAAGGAGAUGCUUGUGCUAGUGAUUUAGCACAUCACUAGCAUAGUGUUGGAGUGCAAUUUUAUCCCAUAUUCCCUAUUUUUGGAUUUAAGACUUGAUUUAGCACACCUAUUGGACUUGCUCU
rnacentral:lncRNA from 1 species